UACGAAGGGUGCAAACGUUGCUCGGAAUCAUUGGGCGUAAAGCGCACGUAGGCGGCUAUCUAAGUCGGAUGUGAAAUCCCUCGGCUUAACCAAGGAAGUGCAUCCGAAACUGGAUAGCUUGAGUACUGAAGAGGAUCGCGGAAUUCCCGGUGUAGAGGUGAAAUUCGUAGAUAUCGGGAGGAACACCAAGUGGCGAAGGCGGCGAUCUGGGAAGAUACUGACGCUGAGGUGCGAAAGCGUGGGGAGCAAACAGG
rnacentral:rRNA from 1 species